ensembl:snRNA U6 U6 spliceosomal RNA
GUGCUUGCCCCAGCAGCACAUAUACCAGAAUUGGAGUGAUACAGAGAAGACGAGCAUGACCCCUAUACAAGAAUGACCCACAUAUUCGUGAAGCCUUCCAUACUUAA